GGGAUGGCAACUUCCCAACCCCUAUCUCCACAGCUAGAAAGGGGUCUUCAGCACACGUGCUUCCCGGGGACACUUCCGAAGCUGAGCCCCAGAGGCUUCUCAGCUGUGCUCCAGAGUCCUUGCAGACGGCCAGUCACGUACCCCUACAGUUACUGCCCCCUGUUCAACCUGAGCAGCUUGAUCUGUUUCACACCUUAACCUCUGUCUCAGACUGGCUUUAAAGGGCUCCACUGCAGGCAUCUCAGCCAGAAGCGGAAACCACUUUGGUCUCCGGAGUCCCUGUGCAACUGCAAAGCAUCAGCAAGGCUUCACAGAUCCAAGUCUAGCCUGACCUCGCCCCCACACCCCCACCGAGUCCAAGCCUCUCGUUUCUCCACUAGGAUGCAGGAAAGCCUCCUCAGGGGCUUCCUGUCCUCUGAUUUGGCCCCCCAUAAUCUGUCAUAUAUCCUGCACCCAGGGAAAACUUUUAGCUGUAAUUCUCAUCAGGUCACACUCUCAAGUUAAAACCACCCAAUGGCUUCCCAGCAUCCUGAGAAUAAAAGCCUGGCCUCUCAUGGUGGCAUCGAAGCCAUCCAAGGAAUAAAAGAAUGGCCUCUCCUGGGGGCCUGUGACACACAUAGGAUAAAAGUGUGACCUCUCGUGGUGAACGCGAGGCCAUCCACAGGAUAAAAGCCUGGCCUCUCAUGCUGGACGCAAGGUCGUCCACAGGAUAAAAGCCUGACGCCUCGUGGUGGACAUGAGGCCGUCCAUAGGAUAAAAGCCUGGCCUCUCAUCGUGGAUGCAAGGCCGUCCACAGAAUAAAAGCCUGGACUCUCAUGGUGGACGCGAGGCCGUCCACAGGAUAAAAGCCUGACGCCUCACAGUGGCCUGCGAGUCUGACCUUAUUCUGACCCGUUUCCCCUCUCGCUUCCUCCUGGGCUGCGCUCCGCUGCACUCACACAACCUCGUCCUGCAGUUCCAGCGCUGGUGUGUUUUUGUCUCAGGCCUUCUCUUCCCAAAUCUCUUGAGACUGCUCCAUCCCACCAUUCAGAUCUCUUCCCGGAGAUUACCUACCCAGACCACCCACCAUCACGGCCCCUGUCCCCCCAGACUGCCUAAGGUCCUCAUCACGCCCCACACUGUGAGAUCACGGCGGUGAUGGG
rnacentral:lncRNA from 1 species